ensembl:snRNA U6 U6 spliceosomal RNA
GUGCUCACUUCGGCAGCACAUGUCCUAAAACUGGAAGGACACAGCGUUAGCAUAGCCCCUGCGCCAGGAAGACGUGCAAAUUCAGGAAGGGUUCCAUAUUUUU